AAUUGCAUUAAUGGCAGACCUAAAGACAGCAAAUCACCUAAAUUAUCAUUUGUUUUAAGAAUAAAUUCAGAGAGUUAAAUAACUGCCUGGACAUAGAUAUAUGUCCACACAUAGAUUGAACAUUCCACACUAGGUUUUACUGACAACACAAAAAGGAGACACAGUGACUCCUGUCUUCUCUUUGAAAAAGCAUGAUCGUCUCACUUUUGAAUCUUCAUGCCUUUGUCCCCAGACAUAACACAAUUAUGAAGUUUGUAUUUCCUUGAAUACCCUUCACGCCUCACACCAACACAUUCCAUAAAUCUCUUGGAAUAAGAAAGCCUAUAGUAGAAAUAUCCUGGGAC
rnacentral:lncRNA from 1 species